UUAUCUGCCCAGUGAUACUUUUAAAUGGCCGCAGUACCCUGACUGUGCUAAGGUAGCAUAAUCACUUGACUUUUAAAUGGAGCCUAGAAUGAAAGAAAGAACGUAGAAAACUUGUCUCGCAUACAUUAUUUUAAACUUGAUGUAUGAGUGAAAAUACUCAUAAACACAAAAAUAGACGAGAAGACCCUUAGAAUUUUAAAAAUAUUAUAUGUAAACAUCUUAUAAGUUUUUUUGUUGGGGCAACAAUAUUUCAUAAAAUAAAUAUAUUUUUGAAUAAUAUGCCGAUUAGAUAGUUAUAUAAAAAUUACCUAAGGGAUAACAGCAUAAUUUAUAUAUUAAGUUUGUGACCUCGAUGUUGGACUAGGUACUAUUAAGGCUAAUCGUUUUAA
rnacentral:rRNA from 1 species